rnacentral:rRNA from 1 species
GUACACGCUGUGACUAGCAUAUCAAUAAGCGGAGGAAAAGAAACUAACAAGGAUUCCCCUAGUAACGGCGAGUGAAGCGGGAAGAGCUCAAAUUUGAAAUCUUAAAGGGUUUCCCUUUACGAAUUGUAGUUUAAAGAAGUGUUUUCUGUUGAGGUUUUGGUAAAAGUUCUUUGGAAUAGGACAUCAUAGAGGGUGAGAAUCCCGUAUUUGACCUUUACUUUCAACUUUGUGAUACACUUUCAAAGAGUCGGAUUGUUUGGGAAUGCAGUCCAAAAUGGGUGGUAAAUUUCAUCUAAAGCUAAAUAUUGGCGAGAGACCGAUAGCGAACAAGUACCGUGAGGGAAAGAUGAAAAGAACUUUGAAAAGAGAGUUAAACAGUACGUGAAACUGUCAAAAGGGAAGCGUUUGACACCAGUGUUGUUUUUCUGAAAAUCAAUUAAAGAACUGUUUAUGCUAAGUUGUUUAGACUUUAUCAGCUAUCUGUUUAGUUUUGAGCUUUUCUUUAAUGCACUUUUCAGUUAACAAGUCAACAUCAAUUUCUUUUGCUGUAAAAAAGCUUGAGGAAGGUGGCUUGAGAUUCGUCCUUAAGUGUUUAUAGCCUCUUGCCUAUGCAGUCGGAGAGAUUGAGGUCUGCAGCGUAGAUCCUUCGGGGCUAAAUGCAUUUGUGCUAAGUUAUAGCAUUUUAUAGACAACUUGUUGACUAUGAUUUGUCUUGUAGCUUACUCGCUUAUGUUAUUUUACCUACGCUUAGGAUGUUGAGUCGUAGAGCACGCA